AUGGUUGGAUGACUUCAGAUGGUGGACGGAAUAAAAAGAAUGCCAGUAGCCAACGACAAUUUCCGUUUCAAUUAUCUGCAGAUCCUGAUGACGAAGAUAAAGGUUUCAUUGAUACAUAUUUUAAUGUAGUUAAUGGAAAAUGAAUAAAUUCUUUUAACUGA